CGGGCAACUGCGCCGUCAAUGCCAGCUCGUCCUGACGUCAUAGGCGAUACAGCCUGUGCAUAUGGGUUUACUGGCGUAGCGAUUUUGCGUGCCGUAAACGCGGCCGGAAGCGACGAGGACGACAUUUCUUGAGAGCCCUCUAUCGUUUGACCAACGUCUGCCGCUACACGCGAGGAUGCUGCCAUCAGUCCCAUCAGCCAAUCUGAUGUUGAUUGCUGCCGAUUCGGAUCAAUUGCCAAAGACGCCGCCUCAUCCUUGACCGCUGCCGCCAGCAUGUCCGCAAAUGCAACGGAUUGCCCGCCCAACAUCUCCUGACCCAGCUUCUGUCUUAGCUUUGGGUUUUUCUCCGCCAUCGACAGGAUAAUACU
rnacentral:rRNA from 1 species